GUUUUCUAUCAAUAUAGUGAGGUGCAGUGUGCCUCUGCCACUAACAAGAAAUGUAUCAGCAGUUUCCCCGUCUUCUACUUUCAUAGCUAAGUUCCUUUCAAGCUCACGAUAUAACCUAUCACGGAGAUUACGGCUUGUGACAUAUUUCCCCUCUUUACCGACAAAAGGUGAAGUGUUGAUGGAAAAAGACAUUCUGACUGUCGGUUCCUCUAUUUUGAUGGUGGGCAAG
rnacentral:misc_RNA from 1 species